GCAUAUCAAUAAGCGGAGGAAAAGAAACUAACAAGGAUUCCCCUAGUAGCGGCGAGCGAAGCGGGAAGAGCUCAAAUUUAUAAUCUGGCACCUUCGGUGUCCGAGUUGUAAUCUCUAGAAAUGUUUUCCGCGUUGGACCGCACACAAGUCUGUUGGAAUACAGCGGCAUAGUGGUGAGACCCCCGUAUAUGGUGCGGACGCCCAGCGCUUUGUGAUACAUUUUCGAAGAGUCGAGUUGUUUGGGAAUGCAGCUCAAAUUGGGUGGUAAAUUCCAUCUAAAGCUAAAUAUUGGCGAGAGACCGAUAGCGAACAAGUACCGUGAGGGAAAGAUGAAAAGCACUUUGGAAAGAGAGUUAACAGUACGUGAAAUUGUUGGAAGGGAAACGCUUGAAGUCAGACUUGCUUGCCGAGCAAUCGGUUUGCAGGCCAGCAUCAGUUUUCCGGGAUGGAUAAUGGUAGAGAGAAGGUAGCAGUUUCGGCUGUGUUAUAGCUCUCUGCUGGAUACAUCUUGGGGGACUGAGGAACGCAGUGUGCCUUUGGCGGGGGUUUCGACCUCUUCACACUUAGGAUGCUGGUGGAAUGGCUUUAAACGACCCGUCUUGAAACACGGACCAAGGAGUCUAACAUGCUUGCGAGUAUUUGGGUGUCAAACCCGGAUGCGUAAUGAAAGUGAAUGGAGGUGGGAACCGCAAGGUGCACCAUCGACCGAUCUGGAUUUUUAAUGAUGGAUUUGAGUAAGAGCACGUAUGUUGGGACCCGAAAGAUGGUGAACUAUGCCUGAAUAGGGCGAAGCCAGAGGAAACUCUGGUGGAGGCUCGUAGCGGUUCUGACGUGCAAAUCGAUCGUCAAAUUUGGGUAUAGGGGCGAAAGACUAAUCGAACCAUCUAGUAGCUGGUUCCUGCCGA
rnacentral:rRNA from 1 species